rnacentral:lncRNA from 1 species
UGGGCUUUGAUACAAGCUAAGUACUCCACGAUCGAGUUCGACUUCCUGGGGUAAGAUGGUGCUGUCUGUUCGAGGUUGAAGUAGUGUAGACAUGACAAGGGCAUCAUCAGUCACUGAAGGCCUCAUCCGCCCACUGCGCAGUGUGGGGAGAGUCAGUGGCAACGCCAAGCUGCUCUUCGGCAGUGUGAACCUUUGAGCAGUCAGUGUAGGGCAGGAGGAAGCAGCGGUGGGACUGAGGUCAGCUCUGACUCUGCCCUGUUCUUUCCCACUAGGUAUGCGAUUGUCCGUUUUAACCAGUACUUUAAAAUGAAGCCUGAGGUCACAGCACUAAAAAUGCCAGAGUAAAGAAGAGGUCGCUGUUCUCCAGGAGCUGAGCGACGCUUGUGGAUGUUUCUGAGAAAUUCCAAAAGCCAAUAUUUGUUAAAAGUCAUUUAAUUUGGUUAUCUUGCUUUAAAAAUUAUGCCUCUAAACAACCAACCUAUUUUUAAAUAGAAUGAUGUUAAGAGUAUGCUUACUGCUGUCAGUCUGUGGUGGGCUGAAGAUGUGACCAUCAGCAGAGAGAGUAGAGUCAGGCUUUAGCCUGUGGCAGUGCAGCCCAUGCUACGUGUGAAUUAUUUAUUACAGAUUGACAUGACUGACUACUUAGAUCUUUCAUUUGCUGGUUCAGUGUAUGUAAUGAGAAUAUUGUGGACAUCUUUAAAUGGUUCUUUCGAUAGAUUUGAUUUGAGAAAAACAUUCUUGUUGUUGAGUGUAACCUUUGUAAACUGAAUCAUUUACUCUCAACCUUUGGCAGUCAGUCCCUCAGUAGUAAGCUAGGGUAUUUUAGAGAAGUGCUCAUUGAGGAGGGGGCGAGGCAGGUACUGUCUCCUGGGGUAUAAUACUUUUUUCAAUUGGAAAUUGGAAAUCAUUUCUUUUUGGGGAGUACAACUUAGAAUUAAAUUGUCUCUUUACAUAGCCUGACAAUAUAAAAUAUAUUUACUGUAUAAGCCUGGAAUAUAACAAUUUAAUGUUAAAAACUGUUAUUAAGUCAUGUUUUCAAAUACUAGAUAUGGUCAUUUAAGGUAAUAGUCUCAAUUUUUAGAAUUUACCUAUCCACUUGUUUCUAACCAGAAGUUUUGUUUUACUUGAGAUACUCUGUUUUUGUUUAUUAAAUGAUAGUUGGCAUUGUUAGUAUUUGAAACAAACAUACAGAGUUCAUCAUACUUGGAAGCAAGGAAUGUCAUUUAGAUGCUUUCUAUUCCAAUUCAUUCCUUAAGUUGGUUUUGUGUCUGUACAGUCAGCAGAUAUUAAUCAUACAUGUAACUCCAGAAUAGUGUUGUUGGUGCAGUUACAGAAUCAGUAAGGAACAUUCGCUAGGUCAUUGAGCUUUGAAUACUUAAAGUCUAACAAAUAAGGAAAUGUGAAUUACACAGUAGUUGUGGUAGGAGGACUUGUUUUGGUUUCUCUUGGUUUUAUCAGUCUGGUUUUUAUUUUGUGUAGGUGAAGAGGGAGGCACCUACUUCAUGGAAGGAGGUUAGGUCUUUGAGGUAGACAAGGCUUUAAUCUUGAAGACUGCUCUGUGGGCUUGAGCAGUCGGGGUAACUUUACUUGGGUUAGUCACACAGGCUCUGCACUUUGGUCACAUAAGUGCUUCUGUACAAAGUUGGCUCCGUGGAUCUGCGUAGUUAAAUAUGCAGUGCAGAUCUGUUCUAGGUUUGUCCGAUGUUCACAUGACUUAGGUCUCAGCCAAGUGCUUUAAAAUACUUGGGUUGCCUCAAGGUGUUCAAACCUACUAAGUAGACAGGCCAUUUGAGAUGGUAAAUUCUAGCCACAUGCAUAGACUCUUCAAUACGUGUCUCUAACAGUGUUAGACCUGGAUUCGGUUUCUACCUCCCCAAUGCUGUAAUGUUCACGUCUGUUUUCAUGAACCACAUUACUGUAAGAUCAUCACAAUUCUGCCGACUUCCUUGAAUGGAAAAGAACGACAAGCUCUUUACAACGCAAACAGGCCAAAGCCUGGCUUAGUGGGAUCCGCUCUUGGUGAGAGCAUUGUUAUGCGAUGAGACAGGUGCAGGCCUCCUGACUGCUUACCUCCUGAACGUCCAUCCAAGAGUGUGUGUCCUGUGCAAGCCCUGGAGAAGAAGACAGUGUUUGCUAGUCUGUUCCUGUUUUGAGAGUGCUUUCAAUGGAGGCUCACUGUGCUGCUGCUGCUGCUGCUGCUGCGCUGGUGCUGGUGGACUGCAAGCAGCCCGCUGAAAUGUGACAGACUGCCGUGGCAGUGAGUGCCAUGACAAUGAGGCUUCCUUGUUCACUCUGCUAGCAAGUAAGAGAUGUUGGAAAGACACUAGCAUGUGGAAGCUCUUGCCCCCAUUCCUUGGCCAGAUUUGGGUGCUCUGCUGCACCUGCUUCUCAUACAGCUUUUGGGGAUCAUAGUGUAGACUAUCAACAGGAUUCAAAAUGUCUUUCUUUGUAUCGACCAUGGAAGGGAUUCUGAAGAGGGUAUAUUGGGACUGUUCUGAAGAACAUCCCUCUAAAACGUGUCCUGUGGCUUGCUAGAUAUCAGUUGCCUUCUUUUGUUCAGCUGAGGAACUUGAAUGCCUUACCCAAUCACUCAACUGGUAGUAAGCUCGUUUUGUAAAUGUGAAAGUGGAUGUUAGAAGUGGCAUUCAUGGAUGUUCAAUGUAAUCAAUAGACCGUAGUGGCCUGGAUGCUUUAACAAGCAAAAUUCUGCAUUUCUGCCCUCCACCCCAUCCUGUGUCCCCGGCACACUGUGUGAUCUUGAACCUGACCAGUGAUAUUUGAUGCCCUCCCUCUCCCCUGUGCUACCACCAUGUCUGGGACUGAGAUGUGGUGGCCGUGUUUUGCUGUUGACGUGAUCUGCCUGAGGUCCCAUGAGCACAAGCCCCGUCAGCUGCUCUGCUGCGGUGUAAAUAGGAUGGCGUCUGUAAAUAAAGCCACUGUGCUGAG